AGGGCGAUGGAGAUGGAGUGAGGGCGCCUCUCCUCCCUGUCACCAGGAGAGACACGUGGAGACUGUUAGGUAUUAACCAAGCUCUGACCUUCUGAGCCUCUACUCACUGCUAUCCCAAGUACUGGAGUCCCAUGGGAUCGUGAGGGUCAGAGAGGUAACAAGGUGGCUUGGAGGAGUAUGUGGAUAUCUCAGAACACCGGAGGCAAAAUGGCUGCAGCUUCGAGUACUGGUGAAUCCAGGAGCUCAAACGUGGAGUCAAGAUUCCCUCCCUCGCUUCCCUGCUUGUCAGCUGUGGUUGUCUCUGCUCCUCUUUGGUGACUUUUAGGAGGUAUGUGCUGGGCACCCCUCUGCACACAGCAUCGCCGUGGCUGUGGUGAGAACGCUGGUUUCUUUUAAAACCACGGAAAUAUG
rnacentral:lncRNA from 1 species